AUUGAACGCUGGCGGCAGGCUUAACACAUGCAAGUCGAGCGAGCGGCGGACGGGUGAGUAAUGUCUGGGAAACUGCCUGAUGGAGGGGGAUAACUACUGGAAACGGUCGCUAAUACCGCAUACCCUCGGAUGUGCCCAGAUGGGAUGAGCUAGUAGGUGGGGGAACGGCUCACCUAGGCGACGAUCCCUGGCUGGUCUGAGAGGAUGACCAGCCACACUGGAACUGAGACACGGUCCAGACUCCUACGGGAGGCAGCAGUGGGGAAUAUGGCACAAUGGGCGAAAGCCUGAUGCAGCCAUGCCGCGUGUAUGAAGAAGGCCUUCGGGUUGUAAAGUACUUUCAGCGAGGAGGCGUUACUCGCAGAAGAAGCACCGGCUAACUCCGUGCCAGCAGCCGCGGUAAUAC
rnacentral:rRNA from 1 species